rfam:Clostridium sp. DL-VIII chromosome, whole genome shotgun sequence.
GGGAGCCGGAUGAGCUGAGAGGUUCAAGUCCGGUUCUGAGAAGAGCCUAAAGGUGAGGUUCCUUUUGGCUACUUACC